rnacentral:rRNA from 1 species
ACUCCUACGGGAGGGCAGCAGUGGGGAAGUCUUGGUACAAUGGGCGCAAGCCUGAUCCAGCCAUGCCGCGUGAGUGAUGAAGGCCCUAGGGUCGUAAAGCUCUUUCGCCAGGGAUGAUAAUGACAGUACCUGGUAAAGAAACCCCGGCUAACUCCGUGCCAGCAGCCGCGGUAAUACGGAGGGGUUAGCGUUGUUCGGAAUUACUGGGGCGUAAAGCGCGCGUAGGCGGACUGGAAAGUUGGGGGUGAAAUCCCGGGGGCUCAACCCCGGAACUGCCUCCAAAACUCCCAGUCUUGAGUUCGAGAGAGGUGAGUGGAAUUCCGAGUGUAGAGGUGAAAUUCGUAGAUAUUCGGAGGAACACCAGUGGCGAAGGCGGCUCACUGGCUCGAUACUGACGCUGAGGUGCGAAAGUGU